AUUUUCUGAUCAACAUUAAGAUGAUGAUGAAUUUUUAAGUCUUUCUGGAAUUUUUCCAUUCUAUUAAUUUACAGUGAGCCAGGUUUUGGUUUUGGUUCAUCUUUUCUGUGUGUUCUUCCUCUCUAAUUCACUGACUUUUGCCUGUCAAACAAGAGGAACAAAGAUAAGAGUGACAGCAGGCUUCUCUCCAGAAAUAAUGCAGAACAGGGAUCAAAGGAACGACAUCUUUAAAAUACUAAAAGAAAACUAGAAUUAUAUAUCCAGCCAAAAUAUCCUUCAAAGAUGAGGGCAAAAAGAAGACAUUUCCAGACAAACAAAAGUUGAGAGAAUUUGUUGUCAGCAGAACUGUGCUAUAAGAAAUGUUGAAGGGUGUUGUACCAGGUGAAGGAAAAUGGUACCAGUUGGAAACCUGAUUCUAUACAAAGAAAUCAAAAAUACUGGAAAAACUAAAUAUUCAGGUAUAGUUCAAUAAAGAAGAAGAAGAAGAAGAGGAAGAAGCCAUGUGAAGAUGAAGGCAGAGAUCUACUAGCCAAAGAACAUAAAGGUGGUCGGCAAACCACCGGACGUUCAGAGUGAGGCAUGGAACAGAUUCUCCUUCAUAGCCCUUAGAAGGAACCAAUCCUGCCAACACCUUGAUCUCAGACUUCUAGCCUCCAGAACUGUGAGAGAAUAAAUUUUGUUAUUUAAGCCACUCGGUUUCUCGUACUUUGUUACA